rnacentral:lncRNA from 1 species
UUUUUUUUUUUUUUCCUUUUUAGGGCUGCACCCAUAGCAUAUGGAAGAGUUCCCAGGUUAGGGUCAAAUCGGAGCUGCAGCUGCCAGCCUACACCACAGCCACAGCAACGUGGGAUCUGAGCCGUGUCUGCAACCUGCACCACAGCUCAUGGCAAUGCCAGAUCCCCAACCCACCAAGCAAGGCCAGGGAUCGAACCCGCAUCCUCAUGGAUACUAGUCAGAUUCAUUUCUGCUGCACCACCAACGGGAACUCCUUGAUACUAAUUCUUACCUGUGGUUUUAAAAACUAUAUCCUUUAUAUUAACUUUUGUCAAUUUUUUUCUCUUCCUUAAAAAGUAACUCAAAAUAUUAAAAACAAAAAACAAAAAACUGUACUACAAUGCAGUUUCAGAAAAGAAUCUAAAAGGAUAAGUUCAAGCCACGACAGGAACUCCCUCUUUAAGUAAUUUUAAAUUUUAAUACAUCGUGAUAAACUAAACUUUUCAUGAUAUGCUUGUCAUUCCUGUAGUGGAAGAAUUUGUUUCCAAGAUAUAAAAAACUACAAACAUAUGAAUUAUAAGCAAAACAUUUCAUUAAUUUAAUGCAUUAAGUACACACUCUCGGGGUCUUAACACUUCAUGGUGUGGACUAACUACCCAAUCGAUUUGUCUAAUUCUAAGGCCUUUCUCACCCAAGAGACGGCCCUAUAUCUCUACUAUAUACCCCACCUCCUCAACUCAACCUAUCCAAACCGGAACCGAUUCUCUAUCAGAACUUUCAUCCAUCCACAGAUGGCGGGUCUGUUGAAUUACAACUGCCUGUGGACCAUUUGCUCAUGCCACUGGUUCUUAAACAGGCUAGUCUGAUUUCUCCAUCACUGGCCAAUUCUCCCGUUUUCUUUAGAUCCCUUUCUCAGAUCACAGGUGGUUUCAUUUCAAAUCAAAAUCUAACAAAGGCCAUGCUCCCAAAUAACAUUCAAUGAACGAUGAAUGAAAGAUGACCUUGGAGAAGACACAGGUAAUGGAGUGAAGGCUGGACUGUAAGGGUGAGACAGCAAAUGAAGAAAAUGACAAGUGAUAUUUCUUGAACUGUUUGAAACCUGGCUUUAGGUAUCUCUGUUUCUUUUGCGAUUUUAGCAAAGAAAAAGAGAAAACACAAUUGAAAGGAUGGCCCAACUAAGAGAAAUAUUUAGAUUUGAGAGUGUGGGCAAAAAGGAAGAAAUGAGUCAAGACAGAAAUCUGAAGGUAAAGGUUUUUAUUGCCUACAAUCUUACACCUUCAGGGUGUUCCCGUCGUGGUGCUACAGAAACAAAUCUGACUAAGAACCACGAGGUUGUGGUUCAAUCCCUCGCCUCGCUUAUGGGUUAAGGAUCCGGCUUUGGCGUGAGCUGUGGUAUAGGUCGCAGAUGGGGCUCGAGUCUCAAGUUGCUGUGGUGUAGGCUGGCAACUGCAGCUCUGAUUGGACCCCUAGCCUGGGAGCUUUGAUCAACAAAGAGCGAACUAGAGAGAGAACUGAUAAAUGACAAUAACAAAGAAAGAAGGUGAAUAAGAUGGAACAAAUUUCAAAGAAAGAAGAUCAAUAAUUUGGAAUUGGAAGUGGGCUGAUUCAACUUACUACUCGAAGACAAAAAGAUAUGGGAGAAUGAAUAGCCCUCAAUUCAAGAUGGCCCCCAAAGAAGUAGUAUUCCAGGAAGAAAAAAAAGAGCCAAGGUUAAUUUAAGUAAAAGAGACGUGAAGGAUGUUCUAUAAAAAGUCUUACUUUAGAAUAAGUCUGAGGUUCCAAAGGACUUCGAGGAAAGUGAUGAGAAGUCAAAAGGAUGAGAAAGGACAGGUAAAGAAGGUCAGAGCUAUAUGAAGAAGGGAAUACAAGAAAAGAUGACUGAUCAGAGCUGUCCACAUAAAUGAAAGUCAAACGGCUACUGUGAAUGUAAGUAUACUGAAGAAAAUUCAUAUUUUAGGAGUUCCUGUUGUGGCGCAGCGGUUAACGAAUCUGACUAGGAACCAUGAGGUUGCAGGUUCGAUCCCUGGCCUUGCUCAGUGGGUUAAGGAUCCAGCGUUGCUGUGAGCUGUGGUGUAGGCUGCAGACACGGCUCAGAUCUGGCUUUGCUGUGGCUGUGGUGUAGACCGGGGUCUACAGCUCCGAUUAGACCCCUAGCCUGGGAACCUCUAUAUGCCGCAGGAGCGGCCCUAGAAAAGGCAAAAAGACAAAA